CAAAAGGCUCUUUUCAGAGCCACCUAAUGUUUCUAUAAAGCGCUG
rfam:Heterocephalus glaber contig180064, whole genome shotgun sequence.